rnacentral:misc_RNA from 1 species
AGUCGGCAUUCGACCAUCAGAUGGAGCGCACGUCUCUGGUCCUCAGUAAAAAAAGUAGCAAGUGAAAACUAGUGCUGUGUCCAGUUUCGUAGUUCCAGAACAGAGAACAGGAACGAAAAUCGUGGAAAUGUAAAUAAGUGCAGACUGAAAGUCUUGAAAUUCGAAAGCUCAGCGAUAAGUGUGGACAACAGUGCGAUCACCGGUCGGCAACUUUAAAUUUUUUCGUUUUGUGCUGAAAAUGUUUUUAUUUUUUUCGGUUUUCCAAGCUUGAUUUCUUGUAAUACCUAAAAGUGUCAUAUAUACUCUCCGCAUGUUGGCUGCUAAUUUAUUGGCAAACAAACACGUCUAAGUGCGAAAUAGAUUUCCAAAACAAAAACGAGGCAUUGUUAAAAAGCAGUUGCCGUUGUCAUGCCGCAUCAUCACCAUCAGCAUCAGCCGACGAGCAGCCAAAACAAUUUGACAUUUCUAAAAUCGAAUUACAAAUUCAAGCGCAGAGCGAUGUCGAUGGCCAUCCGCGCACUUCCUGCGACCACGACGCCAGCGGAAGCGCGUAGAGCAGAACCAAGCCAAAACACCAACCAAUUAGCGGCAACAAUGUCAAAGACGUCAGCAGCAACAGCAACACAAUUGGCAAGAGCAACUAGCCGCGAAUGUAGAACAAUUCUAGGUUUAUUUAUAGUAAGCGCAUGGAGCGCUUUGCAAGAGUUGGCCAAUUGCUUACGCCAGGAUGAAGAUCGCUAUGUUGGCCAUGGCCGUGACGUCAAUGCGUCGUCCGCUGCCUCUGAUGAGGUGUCAAUGGCACGUGAGCAACAACAACACCACCGCCAGCACCGCAAACACUCGGCCAGUUCUAGUCCCGCAAAAAGCAUGCGCUGCACGAGAGCAAAAGCAGCAUCAACUGGCAUCGCAGCAGCAUCAGCAUCAACUGGCACCGCAGCAGCAACAGCAACACUGGGCGCAGCAGCAGCAGCAGCAGAAGGAGCAACUUCUGGCCAUCAUCAGUUGGGUGGACAGCCUUUGAUGGCUCUGUUAAUUGGAUUGCUGCUACUGAAUUUUCGCCUGGCGGCGGCUGGCACUUGUUGGCAGACGCACCUGGGCAGCGGGAAGUGCGGACAGGUCUUCUCCACGGACAUUUCGAGGUCGGAGUGCUGCGGCGCCAGCCAGAGCUUCUCCUACACGGAUCGCGAGCUGAGCAGCGUGGAGUACUUCUUUGCCACGGCCAUUGGUGGCGGCGUGGAGUGCUCGCCCUGCAUGGAGAGCUGCAAGGGCUUUAAAUGCGGCCCGAACAAGAAGUGCGUGAAGCGCAAGGGUCGGCCCAAGUGCGUUUGUGCACCCGAAUGCGGAGCUGCCCUGCGACGCAGGACACAUCAGCAGGAGCAGGAGCGGGAGGAGGAGCAGCAGGAGAUGAAGCCUCCCCGCGAGUCCCGUAGUCUAAGUAGCGAAAAUACCAACUUCAAUUUAGGUUUAGACGGCGGCCAACGCCAACGUGCUGAUAACCAAAGAAAGCUGCAGCCUCGCGAGUCGAAGCAUCGCAGACUUUUGAUCAUAGACAGCAGCAGCAGGAGCAGCAGCAAUUUGCCAGAUCAGCCCACAAGUGGCAGACGCGGCCGGGUGGAGAUGACGGGCUAUGAGAGGCGCAGACACAGAAACAGCCAUGGCAAACACUUAACAAGAUCAAUGACGACAGGAGCCAAUGACUCGUUCCCGGCAGACAAGACGCCUGCGCAGUCGCCUGCCGCAGACUCAAUCUUGGCUCAGUCUAGACUUGCCAACUUGGCAAAUGCUAAUGAACCCGCCAACGACAUUAAUAGACAGUCGUCGACUCGAGUCAGACAUCAGCAUGCCAGACGCAUCGAGCAUGCUCCAAAUCCAGACAAUGGGCUAAGGAAAAAGCAGCAUAAGCAGCAGCAGCAUCAGCAUCAGCACCAGGAUCGAAUGGAUACAGAAGCCCAGUCAGCGAAUACCACUGUGUCUGGGUCUGGGUCUGGGUCCGGGACAUCGAAUCAUCGUCGAAUCUCUCAGUUGCAACACGGAAGUGAAACGGCUGCGUCAUCGGACCUCGCUAAUACCCAUGACUUGGCUCAUUUGGGCGGAAUCUACGCGCCCCUGCCGCCGCAGCAUUCGAAUCCGGUUUGCGGCACCGACGGACGCACCUACAACACCGAGUGCCAGCUGCGCAAGCGCGCCUGCCGCACCAACAACGCCCAACUGGAGGUCGCCUAUCGGGGCCACUGCAAGAACAGCUGCAGCGGAGUCCAGUGCUUGAACGGAUUGACCUGCGUGGAGGAUCAGUAUCUGAUGCCCCACUGUAUCGCCUGCCGGAUCGAGUGUCCCUGGGACAACCUGGAUGUGGACUCCAGUGGCUACGACGAGCGACAGGCGGUGUGCGGCGUGGAUGGGAAGACGUACAGGAGCGCCUGUGAUAUAAAUCGAAUGAUUUGCAAAAUUGGACGUUCCAUUGCCGUGGCAUAUCCGGGUCCCUGUCGAGGUAUGUAUUUUGGCUGCAGUCUGCGGGAAUCAAUCAAACUAAUUGGUAUGGAAAGCCUAGUUACAGUUGGUAAAUGCAAAAUGUUGCCGCUGCUGCUGCUGCUGCAACUGCUGCUGGGUAGCGGCAGUGCGAUUUUAACAACAAUCAACAAAGAACCGCAAUUUUGCAUUUGAUUGACUCGACUGAGGUUUCCACAGCCAGCCCAAGUCGAGUUCAGUUAAGGCGAAUCGAAUGGAAUGGAAUCGAAUCGAAUCAAAUCGCGUCGCAGCCACAAGUGGUUGUUGCCGUCUGCAGCUUGGCCAUAUCAAGUUGCCGGCUCUCUCGGUGUUUGACUGAAAUUGCUACAUUUGCUUAUACGGCUCCAUGAUUGCCAGCAAUUUGAUUAGCCCGUCAGCUCUGGCCUGGGUUGGCUUGGGUUGGCUUGGUCUGAUCUGGUCUGGUCUGCUCCACUUUGACUAUGAGCUCGAGUACGGGUGCAGGCGCAUCCACAAUUACUGCGAACACUCGCGUCGUCGGCAUCAUUCAUGCUUAUUAAUUUUGCGGUUGCCAUCCGAUUGAUCGACUCCGAUUUCCAAUUAAUUAUAAUGCCUCAAGUCGGCCCACGACAGAAAAUGCACCGGGGAAAAUGCAUUUGUUGCCCAUCGAUGAUCGUUGGUAUUGAUUCUUUAUGCAGUCCGCGUUCAUAAAUAGAAGCUAAAUCAUUUGAUAUUAAUAGUGUUCAAAAGAAUUUUUAUACGGCGAAUUGUUAGGGAAUAUCUAUAUGAGAAAUUGUUAUUAAAUUUGUUUCCAACAUCACUAUCAUCCGACGUAUCGUUGACCCCGUAUUAAUCAUUUCAUAAUAGUGUUCAAUAUUGGGUUGACUAAAAAAAGACUAUCGAACGAAAAAUAUGUACAUCAAGCAUGGAAAGCUUAAAAAACGCAUGAAUAAAAUAUGCAACUAAUAAAAUUUAAAAAUGAUUCAAAGCAAGAUCCGCAUAGAAUUAUUCGUCAUUAAUUUAUCAUAAAUUGUACCCUACUUCAACUAGGAAAUUAAUAGUUAAUAUUGUAAUUCAUCCAUUUGCAAGUAAUCAUUAUGAUCAGAUAUUUGUGCGUUUCGUACAACAUUUAUCAAAAUUAUUCUGGUACAUGCAUUUAAAUUUUGAGUUUCUCAAGUUUUAUGCUAGAAAAAAAGCGAAGAUUAGUGGAUUUGUAUAUAUUAAAUUGAUUGAAACGAUUCUAUUUUAUACCAAAAUCCACGAACAAACCAAAUUUCCCUAGAAAUCCGAUUUAAAUUUGAAUAAACACUAGGAAAUUUGCUUAUAAAACAAGACGAAGAAACAAGCAUCGUGCCCGAAAAGGAUACAAUUAAAUAGUGAGAAAACUAUAAACAUAUUUAAAUCACAAAAAAUGUAUAAAAAAAAAAUCCUUCAGGUGGUACUACUCCAAUUAGAAAUUUGCAUCCUCACUAUUAGUCCACUUCGUUAAAAUACCGUAGCUUCGACCAGAUUUAAAUUUAAAUGAACACUUGAAAAUUCGUUUAUAAAGCAAGACGUUUGAAGAGAUUAGCAUCCUGCCCGAAAAGGAUACAAUUAAAUUGUGGGUCCUCACAAAAGCAAACUAUUAAAAAUACUAAAAUCACGAAAAAUUAAUAAAAAAAAAAAAUCCAUCAGGUGUAACUAUUCCAAUCAGAAAUUUGCAUGCUACCAAUUAAUCCACUUCGCUAAAAUACCGUUGAAUCGACCAGCUAUCUGUGCGUUUCGUACAACAUUUUUAAAAAUUAUUCUGAUACACGCAUUUGAAUUUUAAAAGUUAAAAAAAGCGAAGAUUAGUGGAAUUGUACAUAUUAAAUUGAUUGAAACGCUUCUAUUUUAUACCAAAAUCCACGAACAAAUCAAAUUUCCCCUAGAAAUCAGAUUUAAAUUUGAAUGAACACGAGGAAAUUUGCUUAUAAAGCAAGACGAAGAGAUAAGCAUCCUGCUAUAAAAAUAUUAAAAUCACAACAAAUUUAUAAAAAAUCCUUCAGGUGGUACUACUCCAAUCAGAAAUAAGCAUCCUCACUAUUAGUCCACUUCUUUAAAAUACCGUUGCUUCGACCAGAUUUAAAUUUAAAUGAACACUUGGAAAUUUGCUUAUAAAGCAAGACGUUUGAAGAGAUUAGAAUCGUGCCCGAAAAGGAUACAAUUAAAUUGUGGGUCCUCACAGAAGCAAACUAUAAAAAAUAUUAAAAUCACGAAAAAUUAAUAAAAAAAAUCCAUCAGGAGUUACUAUUCCAAUCAGAAAUUUGCAUGCUCCCUAUUUCGUUAAAAUACCGUCACAUCGACCAGAGUUUUUCUCCAGUGUGGCAAUCAGUGGUUCUGAAAGGCGUGGUGGUGGGCGUUCCGCAGUCGCACCAAAUCCGGAGACGAACGCGAGAACCUCGGACCGCACCGGAUAGGAGCGACGGAGGCGGAGACGGACCGACUGAACUAGUUUAGUGUGCCAUGGGGGCCGAAGACAAAAGAGGGCUGCCGUGCUGCAAUUGCCUGUUAAUUGCUGUGUUUUUGCCGCAAAUUACAGCUUGUAGUUAAUACGAAAACAAAAGCUGUCAAUCCAGCGGCACCAGCUGCCGUUGACAAAAAUUCGCUCCCUCCGGUCAUUUUGCUCGGCAUUAUUAUUUAUCAAUAAUGUUGCCUUAGUCGUCCUCAAUUUUCAUAAUUAGGUGUUGGGGUCGCUGCACUCCAUUUCCUACUUCAAUUAUCCUUUCACUACGGUACCUUCAAUUUCGUACACAUUCCACAGCAAACUACUUCGGCUAAAGUGCGUUCAUCCUUCGAUUCCUAAUCGUUGGGGAGGACUUAGUUUAAUAAUCAAACUCAUAACUUUACCUAGGUUGUACAUUUCAUUACACCUUUAUGAUCCUCUUCAGUAUUGCGAUUCAUCACUUCGACCCCUAAUCGUUUGGGUGUAUUGUUAGUUUAAUAAACUGUUUUAUAACUUCACCUAUUUUGCACACUUCCAUCCUUCGAUUCCUGAUCGUUUGGGUGUACUGUUAGUUUAAUAAACAAUUGUAUAACUUCGCCUAUUUGUUGCACAUUUCAUUGCACCUUUAUGAUCCUUAUCGUUAUCGCGAUUCAUCUCUUCGAAUUCUAAUCGAUUUGGUGGACAUUUAGUUUAAUAAUCAAUUUAAUAACUUUACCAUUUGUUGCACAUUUCAUUGGAAUUUGAUGAUCCGACGAUUCCUAAUCGCUUGGGUGGACUUUUAGUUUAAUAAACAAUUGUAUAACUUCACCUAUUUGUUGCACAUUUCAUUGCACCUUUAUGAUCCUCAUCGUUAUCGCGAUUGAUCCAUUCGAUUUCUAAUCGUUUUGGUGCACAUUUCAUUGGACUUUGAUGAUCCUAUGAUAUCUAAUCGCUUUUGUGGAAUUUUAAUUUAAUAUGCAAUUGUAUAUAACUUCACCUAUUUGUUUCACAUUUCAUGGCACCUUUAUGAUCCUCUUCAUUUUCGCGAUUCAUCACUUCGAUUUCUAAUCGUUUUGGUGGACAUUUAGUUUAAUAAUAAAUUUUAUAACUUUACCAUUUGUUGCACAUUUCAUUGCACCUUGAUGAUCCUUUUCAUUAUUUGCGAUUCGCCAUCGUUUGGGUGUAUUGUUAGUUUAAUAAACUGUUUUACAACUUCAUCUAUUUUGCACACUUCCAUCCUUCGAUUCCUGAUCGUUUGGGUGUACUUUUAGUAUAAUAAACAA